UGAGGAAUAUUGGUCAAUGGGCGAGAGCCUGAACCAGCCAAGUAGCGUGCAGGAUGACGGCCCUAUGGGUUGUAAACUGCUUUUAUAGGGGAAUAAAGUGAGCCACGUGUGGCUUUUUGCAUGUACCCUAUGAAUAAGGACCGGCUAAUUCCGUGCCAGCAGCCGCGGUAAUACGGAAGGUCCGGGCGUUAUCCGGAUUUAUUGGGUUUAAAGGGAGCGUAGGCCGGAGAUUAAGCGUGUUGUGAAAUGUAGUGGCUCAACCUCUGCACUGCAGCGCGAACUGGUCUUCUUGAGUACGCACAACGUGGGCGGAAUUCGUGGUGUAGCGGUGAAAUGCUUAGAUAUCAACGAAGAACUCCGAUUGCGAAGGCAGCUCACGGGAGCGCAACUGACGCUGAA
rnacentral:rRNA from 1 species